AGCGAACGCUGGCGGCAGGCUUAGCACAUGCAAGUCGAGCGGGCACUUUCGGGUGUCAGCGGCGGACGGGUGAGUAACGCGUGGGAACGUGCCCUCUGGUUCGGAAUAACUCAGGAAAACUUGAGCUAAUACCGGAUACGCCCUUUUGGGGAAAGGCUUGCUGCCGGAGGAUCGGCCCGCGUCUGAUUAGCUAGUUGGUGAGGUAACGGCUCACCAAGGCGACGAUCAGUAGCUGGUCUGAGAGGAUGAUCAGCCACACUGGGACUGAGACACGGCCCAGACUCCUUACGGAGGCAGCAGUGGGGAAUAUUUGGCCAUGGGGGGAAGGCUGAUCCAACCAUGCCGGGGUGGUUAUUAAGGCCUUAGGGUUGUAAAGCUCUUUUAUCCGGGACGAUAAUGACGGUACCGGAGGAAUAAGCCCCGGCUAACUUCGUG
rnacentral:rRNA from 1 species